UUUGCCACGUGUUUGUUGCUCGUUUCUGUCGGCAUUGUUAUUAGAAUGACACCGAUCGCUUUCCAUUAUUUUCUAUAACAUAAUAUUCCAAAAUCAUACAAAUUAACGAAUAAAAAUUACUCGUUCUUUAAAAAAGUUUAAUCAAACUAAAAAUUUUAGCACUGCCGAUAUGGCUAACUUAUGUUCGGUUUCUUUACCCAGUUAUUAGUAAAAAAUAAAAACACCUGUUAUAACCGAGGGCAAACAAAUCACGAAAACAAUUACCGAAAAAUACCGGUUUCUUAGAACUAAAAUACCGGUAUCCGUUUUAACCCAUGCCUAUUCCUUGACCGUUACAUCUGUCAGUUCGUCGCCCUUAAUAUCUGUAUUCACUGGCACUCAACAGAAAUACACUUCCGUCCCCAACCCUUAUAGGUGGAGAAGGGCAUCCUGGGUAUUCUGGAUUGCUUCACCUUAUGGAUAGAAGUGUUGUUGAAAAAAAGAAUCUGAACGGGCGAGGAACUUAGCAGGUGUAACACAUCUCGUCUGUUCCAAUGCCCUCAAGAUCGCUCGCAAUUUUGCGUCAAAUACAGUGAAUACUUUAGACAAUCGGAUCUUGAGGCCACGAUCAGCGAAAGCAAAACAGCAUCCAACGAAGUCCCUACUUAGAAUCCUUCAUAAAUACAGCCAUGUAGUUGUUCGCUCAUUUAAAAUAUCCUAAAAUGUGGUAGUAAAAAGGAUACAGGAGUGUGUCCUCUCCUGUGACGUACUAACUCUGUAAAUCUAAAAUUGCUCUGUGCCUGUGCAGUAACCAGCGUGGCAGUCGGUUCCAACCCUGGAUUUGGGAGUGCACUUGCUCCACACUAAGUGACUCCACCACACGUCUCACGGGAAUCACAAACGGCCUUAUGCUCAUUGGCGUUUGGAGAAAAGCUGUUCCAUAGCUGGACGAACAACAGCAUGGCGUGCUGGUGAAGUGGGAGCAGUGAGGACCUUAUAUGCCAUGAGAGUGGCGAUGAGUGGCGAUUCCCCAGCGUUAACACAGAGAUUAGAUAUGCAGCGGUUCCUUAACCAGCCGUGGUCGGCCUGAUCCCCUCAUGGUGUAUAGGAUCAAUGAUCUUCAACAGAGAGAUAUCGCUGAUACGUGCAGUGCAGAGCCAUAGUCUUGCCGCGAUCACACAAAAGUCGCAUGAGACUGCAGGAGACGCUCCCCGUCCUCUACCGAAGAUCUGUGACCAAGGCACUAAGACUUACGGCGUCACAACCACACUUAAAGACAACCCUCCUUUUUUAUUUAAUUCAUAAUUAUUGUAAUUAAAAUGAAGUUAAACAGUAAUUAAUACGGGAGAUAUUUAUCAUCUGUAUAAAACGCUGAGAUCAUCAUAAAAUUUGUACGACGAUCACUGUAAAGUACAAGAAAGAGGACAAAGAUACUCAUGUGCACUCUAUUAUAAAAGGAACAAACAAUGGCGAAAUCAGCUAUUCCGUCUUCAUUCGCAUUCGCUGAUGUGAUGAGAUUUAACGUGAGUUGUCACACUGUAUUUUGUAGAUAGGUCCGUGGAGCAGUUAAAGUGAGAGUUUCAUUUUAACCUGAUUUUUUACUUCAGAAUUUCCUUUCUAGUUAUUUAUAGGCGAAUGUCCAGAACCAUUACAAAACUUAAGGUAAUUAAAUUCGGAAGCUUUUCGUUUGGGUUUAGUGUUUAAUUACAGUUGCCAGUUGCGGUAGUAUUAAGUUUCAUUCAUUAAAUACAAUAGCACUUGCAAUCACUUUCAUUUGUCUCAGAAGUCCGAUCAUCUUUACGAACUUCAAAACUCAUACUGUGAAAGUCAGUAUGAACCUGGAGACAGAAUUAAACCAAAUGAAUUGCUUCCAAGCAAACUGUAGGCUGUUAUUAUCCUGAAAGCAACAGUAAAUAAAUGUUUGAGGUUUUUCACUAGCUUAACAAUUUUUUAAAAGAAUAAGUCAAAGAUAACUUUUGGGCCACAGUUGUUACGUUUAUCGUUGCCGCAAGUGAAGUAAAUAGCACACAAUGGUAUUUUACGUGCCAAUUGAGAUCUGAAUUUAUCAAGUCCCUGUUAAAGACAGGAAAUAAAACUCGAAAGCGGUGAGACUAAAGUUGGCGAUCUCAGACGAGGACUGCCAAUAAUAAUAAUAAAAAUAAAGUCUUAAAAAUAUAGAUAUUGUACAAUUUCUUUGUAAAUUUCUAUUCUGUAAUCAUGUAUAUGUCUUAUUUUUCAUGUUUUCAACCCUGAAUGAGGUGAAAGAACCAAACCAACUGAGAGGAAAAGGAAAGAAGAUUAUUCGAAGUACCAAAAUCAAGAAAUAACCGCUGCUCUCGAUCGCAAUCUCGAAGAUGAUGCCUGACCAUCGGAAGAUCACCGUCCGGCAUCCCUGAGGCCUGUCCACUUCCUUCGGCAUCUCUGCUGACCUACCUGUGUUGCUGUACGAAUUCGAGGGUCCUAACGUCGUCUUAUCAGCUGUUCGGCGAGCUGUCGCAGCUCCACCUAUCUCGACGGCUUCGUCAAGAACCACCAGUUCAUCACAAUAAAAAAAAUCUAUAAAAGUUAAUGUAUUCCACGCUAAGGAACUUCUGAAAUUUUGUACAGCUAAUCGAAAACCUACCGUUCUAAAAUGAGCAAAGAUAUUAUCACAUGUAAAGUUUUCACUAUUUUCGAAAUGCAAAGAGACUAUAAAAUUUAGCACGCACCUAAAAUUAGUGCUGUGCUUGUAACGGAAGUGUCUUUAACACCUUGUAGUAACAACAAUAAUCCACGACUAUUGUAAAAUUGUAUUUAUGUAUUCCCGAUAUACACUGAAGAGCCAAAGAAACUGGUACACCUGCCUAAUAUCGUGUACUCCCUCUCCCCCAGCACGCGGAAGUGUCACAACAGGACGUGGCACAGACUAGAGUAACGUCUGAAGUACUGCUGGAGUGUUGGAGGGAAUUGACACCAUGGAUCCUGCAGGGCUGUCCAUAAAUCCGUAAGAGUACGAUGGGGUAGAGAUCUCUUAUGAACAGCACGUUGCAAGACAGCCCAGAUAUGCUCAAUAAUGUUCUGUCUGGGGAUUUUGCUAGCAAGCGGAAGUAUUUAAACUCAGAAGAGUGUUUCUGGGGCCUCUCUAUAGCAAUUCCGGAUGUGUGGGCUGUCGCAUUGUCCUGCUGGAAUUCCCCACGUCCGUCGGAAUGCCCAAUGGACAUGAAUGGAUGCAGGUGACCAGUCAGAAUGCUUUCGUUUGUGUCACGUGUCCGCGUCGUAUCCAGACAUAUCAGAGGCCCCAUAUCACUCCAACUGCACACGCCGCAAACCAUUACAGAACCUCCACCAGCAUGAACAGUCCUUUCCUGACAUGCAGGGUCCAUGGAUUCAUGAAGUUGUCUCCACACCCGUACACGUUCAUCCCCUCUAGACAAUUUGAAACGAGACCCGUACAACCAGGCAACAUGUUUCCAGUCAUCAACAGUCCAUUGUCGAUGUUGACGGGUCCAGGCAAGGCGUAAAACUUUGUGUCGUGCAGUCAUGAAGAGUACACGAGUGGGCUCCGGCUGCGAAAGCCCAUAUCGAUGAUGUUUCGUUGACCCUUGUUCAAGGCCCAGCAUUGAAAUCUGCAGCAAUUUGUGUAAGCGCUGCACUUCUGUGACGUUGAAAGGUUAUGCUCCCGUUCUUACAGGAUCUUUUUCAGGCCGCAGGUUUGAUGUUUUAUCGAAUUCCUGACAUUCACGGUACACUCGUGAAAUGAUCGUACGAGAAUAUCCACAGUUCAUCGCUACCUCGGAUAUGCUGUGUUCCAUCGCCCGUUCGCUGACUAUAACACGACGUUCAAACUCACUUAAAUCUUGAUAACCUUCCAUUGUAGCAACAAUAACCGAUCUAACAACUGCGCCAGACCUUUGACGCCUUAUAUAGGCGUUGCGACCACAGCGCCGCAUUCUGCCUGUUUACAUAUCUCAGUACUUGAGUACGAAUGCCUAUACCAGUUUCUUUGGCGCUUCUGUAUAUUUUGUAACACUAUAUGCACAUCAGAUGCAAAUGUCAAUUUAAACUAACUACUAGAGACUGUACGUCCAUCCCUGCUUUUUGGAUGCCCCUUUUUCACAGAGUGAACCGCGCCUGAAGAAGUGGACGACUAAAAUUGUCGGGGCGCAAGUUGUAAAACCGACUUCAGUGAAGAGGCGCAAUCUAACACUUCAUAAGGCAAUAUAAAUAAUUUCAGUAUCCUCAGUUGAUCUGAAGCCGUAAACAGUCACUUGAGGCAAAAUGUAAUCACACCGCAACAUUUAUCUACUGAAAAUACUUGUUAAUGUCAGUGUAACACUCUUGACCAACUAACACUCAAAUGUUAAAUGAAACUAAUUUCAUGUUGUAAGUUGUUCUCAGAUGCGAAGAGUCACUCGGAGCAAAAAAUUCAAAGGGGGCAUGUAAGGUGUUGAAGACAUAUUUGAAGACAUUUCCCCCCUUCUUUUCUUUCAAGUCUUAGUUAUUGUAAUUAAUAUGAAUUUAAACAAUAAUUAAUAUGUGAAAUAUUUGUCGUCUGUAAAAAAGGUAGCGACCAUCAUAAACACUGUACGACGAUUACAGUGAAGCACAAGAAAGAGGACAAGAACACUCUUGUGUCCUAUAAUAAAAGGAACGCAUUUUCAUUCGCGUUCGUUGGUCUGGAUGGGAUUUAACAUGAGUUGUCGUAUUAUAUUUUGUAUCUAGCUGUAUGGAGCGAUUAAAGUGAAAGCGUUAAUUGUUG